CAAAUAAGGGUCGGUUUUCAGUUACUGUUUGGGACUGGAAAACUGAAAGAUACAAACAAAUUAUCAAAUCUGGAACUGUGGAGCCUAGACCUGGAGUUCUUAGAUUGAUGGAUGAAGCAAGGCCAAUG